rnacentral:rRNA from 1 species
CCAAUAGCGUAUAUUAAAGUUGUUGCAGUUAAAAAGCUCGUAGUUGAAUUUCGGAAUCUGUCCGUCGGUCGGGCUUCACUGUCCGUACUGGUGUGGUGGGUUCUUACCUUCUGAAUAACCAGCAUGCCAUUCAUUUGGUGCGCUGGGGAAGCAGGACUAUUACCUUGAAAAAAUUAGAGUGCUCAAAGCAGGCUAGUGCCUGAAUACAUUAGCAUGGAAUAAUAAAAUAGGACGGCAUGGUUCUAUUUUGUUGGUUUCUAGGAUCACCGUAAUGAUUAAUAGGGAUAGUUGGGGGCAUUAGUAUUCAAUUGUCAGAGGUGAAAUUCUUGGAUUUAUUGAAGACUAACUUCUGCGAAAGCAUUUGCCAAGGAUGUUUUCAUUAAUCAAGAACGAAAGUUAGGGGAUCGAAGACGAUCAGAUACCGUCGUAGUCUUAACCAUAAACUAUGCCGACUAGGGAUCGGACGAUGUUAAUUUUUUAAUGACUCGUUCGGCGCCUUACG